UCAUAUGAAUGCUUAGCAUUGAUGUUGGCUUCUUAGAGGGACUUUCGGUGACUAACCGAAGGAAGUUGGGGGCAAUAACAGGUCUGUGAUGCCCUUAGAUGUCCUGGGCCGCACGCGCGCUACACUGACACACGCAGCGAGUCUUCCUUGUCCGAAAGGUCCGGGUAAUCUUGUAAAUGUGUGUCGUGAUAGGGAUAGAUUAUUGCAAUUAUUAAUCUUGAACGAGGAAUUCCUAGUAUAUGCGGAUCAUCAGUUCGCGUAGAUUACGUCCCUGCCCUUUGUACACACCGCCCGUCGCACCUACCGAUUGAAUGGUUCGGUGAAACUUUCGGACCGUCGCUUGGACGCCUUCUGGCGACUAAGCAAUGGGAAGUUAUUUAAACCUCAUCAUUUAGAGGAAGGUGAAGUCGUAACAAGGUUUCCGUAG
rnacentral:rRNA from 1 species